UGAAAAGGAAUAAGAAAAUAAUAUAUAUCUUUUUUUUCAGGUUGAUUACUGAUGUUCUUUUCCAAGUUCAUCAGUUUCUAAGUGACACGUGGCUGUGUUUUAAGCAUUGAGAAAAAGGCACUAUUCAGGCCUCCCUGUAAGGCAUAAUAUGAAACUGGAUGAAAGAAGUAUUUUAUGGCUGGAUUAGCCCUACCUGUUUGGUAGCCAACCCAAGGACUUGCUCAAUGAGUCAUGGAACUGUGCUCUGCUAUUUCUGUUGAAUUCAUCGUAUUCAUCUGGCCCUGUCCUUCGCUCUCCUAAAGCAGAGCUCUGCGCUUCCUGAGCUCUGGCGUUUUGAAGACCAUAUGGUUACCAUUUAAACAACUUCAGAACACAUCUGAUUAAUGUUUCUGCUAAGAGCAGGAGUUGAUAAGUUCAGUGUUGCUUGGUGGAAUGACAUUUAUUUACACUAAGGCAUGCAAAAUUAUUUCACUGGGUGAGGCGAGCCUGCUUCUUUGCUUAUGGAGCUUAGAACAUUAUCUGCCGUUGUACCAUCUAGUUUUCCUCCCAGAAAAAGGGUGGGGAAAAUGAAGCUGGAGGAUUACACUGAGAGCUGAAGGACAGCAAUUGCUAUGGUUGGUUUGCAGAAAUAUAGGAACUCAAUAAUUGUCAACAGAAUUAAUUAUUCAGCUGCUUUAGUCUGAGAAAACAUGCAAAUCCUCCAUGGAUUCCACACUGUUUUCAUUCAACAGAUCUUCUUGCCUUUGAUCAUAUGCUUUGGCUAGCUCUUCUUACUGCUUUACUGUACCUGUUAUCUGACUUUAGGGCCCCUGAAAUCCACUGGAUUGCUAGCUCUCCGUCAAGUUACGGCUUUUUAGCCCAGAUCCCAAAUGGAAGAAGAUAGGUGAGGUCCUCCAUUUCCUGGUCACUCCUCAAGACAGAACGGCAGCAGAUAGGCAGAUAGGCGGUGGCUUCUCCUGGACUGCACUGCAGGCGGGCUGCACCUGUGGCUUUAUGUGGUGAUACUGCUCUUCCUUCUCCUACUGCUAGGUGAUUUUUUAUUUUUUUUCAUCAUAACAAAAACAUAGUUAGCAAAGACUAUACAUUCACCAAACAUUCAUCACGGACCUUCCAAUCUCAGUGUAAGACAGAAGACAGCAGAUGGAUACGGAGGACAGAUGGGGAUGUGGUUAUUAACACAAUGAUCGAGAGUGGUUGGCUGUAGGAUGGCUUCCCUUUCUGUUCACAAAGUGGACAGGUUUUCUCUAGCAGCUGGGGCUAGCUAGUGGGAAUGAGUACAGGCAGAGGAGGGCAGAUGUCUUCACAUUGGUGAGCAGGGAAAUAGGGCAUAAACUCCCCUCAAGUGAUAGCUCUUUUGCAUCUGGGAUGGGUUUAGAUUGAUUUUUCCCUUGCAGACAGUGGUUUUCAGAAGUACCAGCUUCAAAAGGCAUUGGAUGUAUAUGGAAGCAUAAGGGGCUUAAAUGGAUUGUAAAUGGGCCCAGGCCAUGGCAGAAGGGUAGAAAGGUGCACUGAGACAGAAAAGGCAAUACCUACUAAUACUUACUACCAAUAUGACCGUAUUUCUGUAAUUUUUUAUAACUGGCAUCCCUGGGCAAGGGUAUAAGUAUAGCAACCUGACUAUGCAAUAAAAUCAUCAUCAUCUCAGAAUCAGGUAACUGUUUAUUUUGUAUCUAUCUGCUUCUUCUGUCAGUACUGUUGCUUUGAUGCUCAUGCAGUAUGAAUGUAAAAUGAAUUGUAUUACUGGACACUAAUUUACAGUACAAUAAAUAGCAGGUUAAGAGGCCAACAUGGCCCUGAG